AGUUCCGUGCCGGCUGACUGUUCAACUUUUAAAUCGUCAGACACGAGGAGUACGAUUCGAGGAGUAAAGCUAGCGAUGACACGAAGCGUUUUACAAGCCUUCUGUCGGUCGCAUUUAUGGGAAAACAGAUUAUAUUUGUUGCAAGAUCGUAAUCUCCACGUGUACAUGUUUUAUUGUUUAUCAUAGCGAAGCUUAAAGGCUGCUACGAUCUUUGUUUGCAUAGACGUGCGUUUACCAGAAUUAGAUGUUUACUUUUUAACGCUAACUUUACCAAGCCGGAUCGAGUGACCGCUUCUAAAAUGUAGUUUAAAACUCUACACAUUCGUCGUCACGAAGGAUAUAUCUUAACAGACACGAAGAUGUUGCCCCAUUGGGGGUAGCCACCCACAUGAUAAUCAAACAGAUAAAAAAUUCUACCAAAUGUCCAAAUUGGACAAAUUGUGAAUGUGAAAUUUUAAAUAAAUAAAAAAAAAACACAUUCGUCGUUAUUUCUUUUAUCCGUCUUAACUUUAUGCUAAUUCUCGUAUCAUCCGAUUAAUCAAUUGCCGAAUUUUUAUCCAUAUAGAUUACACGAAGGACGAACGAAAGAGAUAACGACGAACGUACAAUUUUAGACUAAAUUUUGAAACCGGUCGUUUGACCGGUUCUGGUAAGGUCAGUGUUGUGUUGCCGAGUGACUGUACAAUGAUCGGCCGAUCGUUCGACAUUGUACGAAACGUAACUGAUACACGUACCGAUGCUCGACUGACAUCGAUCGUGAGAGACAAAAACGCAUCGUCGAGGCCAACGACGUCGAAUAAAAAUUCAUUUCGUGUAAUUUCAGCGACGAAAGCAACCGUUUUCCAUUUGGUUUGGAAAACUUCGAUCGAGUAGCUAUGGAGAUAAACGUAUCUGAUUAAUUUUCGCGAUUUAUCUCUUAUCAAAUGUAUACGCGUGCCUAAGUGUACGAGAAAGACGAAAGAAAUGGAUUUCUGCUUGUACAGAAAGGCUUAAGAAUAAUUCGUUCGUAACCUCGAUCUCUCGUAAGAUGUUUCGCCAUCUCCGGAAUUAAACGGAACACCCUGUAGAUUAAAAUUGAAAUUUCACUACGUAAUAGAAUUACUCGUCUUUCGCGUCGAGCUUUUCGAAUCGAGUCUCUUUGUUCGAUCUUUUCCAAUAUUCUCGUUGAUUCGCGAAAUUACCUGAAAAGAGAUUAUUCCAAUUAGCAGGCUACUACAGCUAGUGAGAUCAUCUUGUUAUCAUCACUUUUUAUGGUAGACAGGCGUAAUACGUGAUUCAAGCUGUGGCAAUCGGAGCAUGCAUACGUUGAAAGCACUUGAAGGUUUAAAUAGAUUGAACCUAUUCGUACAGUGUUGAAGUAGUGCGCUGCAGAGACGUAAUAUUCGCCGCUGAAAUAUCCGUUUUGUCAUCGAACAUUUGAUACGAUUGCACGAUGUAAUAUGAUCGAAAAAAGUGAAAAAAGCAAACGAGGUGUAUCGUUCGAGUUUCUGCACGUUUCUUCGACAAUCUUUAAAUAGUUCGAAAUAGAACACAUUUAUGUCGCUUCGAUCGAAAGGGAAUCUUUCUACUCUUUGAACUGUAUCUAUUCCCAAUAGCACGUUGAAAAAAAACAGGAUAAAAAAGAAAAAGAUAAGGAAGAAAGAGAAGAAGAAAAAGAAGAAAGGACUGGGUUGAGAAAAAAGCGAUAACUCCGGCGAGUGCACGCAACCUGCGGGAAGUCCUUGGGAUCGUUACGGAGAAGCAGAAAAAAACGAACUGACCCGGAAGCUGCUGGCGCGUCAAAGCAGACGGAAGCGGUUGAGUAUAAUUUGCAAGAAAGCAGCAAGUCGAAUUGCACCGUAAAAGUGACCCGUUGCGGUACGAGUGCACCGAAUAUCGACUUUCGACCGAGGCAGAAGUAACACACGCGAUAUACUCGACGAGAUUACGCUUUAACCCGGUCUGGUGUACUUCGCCAUUGAGCAAAAUUAAAAAUUGAAAAAUCAAUUUUUAACGUUUGGGAGAAUUAAUACGGUGAAGUAUAUCGAAGUAUAUUACGAUAUAGAUAGUAACGAUAUUUUUAAUAUUUCUAACAUUUUUUGGUAUUUCUUAAUAACGAAACGCGAUAUUUGUCGUAGGAUAUUUCCUAUCUCCCUUUUUUCCAUAUACAUUCCCCUUGUGUAAAUAUUCUACUAACAGGUUUUAAUAUAAUCUCCUACGACCGGAAUUUGCUUUGCUUAUCAGAGAAAACCACCAAUAUGAUUACAGUUUCUCAGAUUACAGUGCUUCGGGUCGAAAACUGGGCACGGACGAACUGAUCGGUAUAAUUGUAUAGUAAUAAAAUACGUUUUGGAUGGCGCAGUAAGAAAUGAAUCUGAAGAAAUGAUUUAAAAACACGACCGACAAAAAUACAGACGCGAAAAUCUCGAAAGAAAUAUUUUUUAGAUAUCUUGUCAUCUUUUUCGUAAAUUCUAACAAGCAGCCUCGUUAAUUCUAUUCUUUGCUUAGAAACGUACAAGCGUUUGCUGAUUUAUACAGAAUUAUACAGAAUUUAAUUAUAAAAUUACGGAUGAAAAAAAAAGCUGUAGCGAGAUUCUAUUCUUGAAUCAAUAAAAUUAAGCUACGAAUAAGAUGGAAUUAAGCAAUGGAAUUGAUUCUUAAAAAUGAAAUCCUUUUGUGUUACUUCGGAAGCAUUUUUAUUCUCAAAUUAUGUCUUAAGUAAACUGCGAGUUAGAUAAAAAAAGGAGAAGGUUUUUCUCAACCGAUAAAAGGAUUAUCGCGAUUAAUUGAAACGACGAUAUCUAAAAUCGGAUAAUUCGAAUAAUAAAUAAUUUGAAUUGAUAAUCUAUCGUAUCCCUCGGUAGGUGAUUUUUUAGUCGUUAAUUUAUUCUUAUUAUAUAUUUUUUAUUCUUUACUUUAAUAACACUUGUGUCUCAUUGUUACAAAUCGAUCAAAAAUUUCAAACACUGAUAAGCUACUAUGAACUACUCGACGAGAUACUAACGACGUAAAUAUUAAUUUAUUUAAUUGCUACGAUAUGCGAAACUUCGUAAUACCGUAUCUUAAAGAAAUUUAUGAAUUUCAAAAUAUUUACUAGAACACAUAUUCGAUUUUGUUUAUUCAAUUUCAAUUAGAAAUAUAACAAAUGAAAAAAUGAAUCUGCUGUCAGCGUACAAAGUAGGUAUAUUAACUGAAAAUAGUACGCGUAACUUUAUUCCAUACUGUUUCACCAUAACUUCUUAUUAUACAGAGCUACUUUUAAAUAACAUUUUUACACGAGAUAAAGAAAACGAAUAGAUUGAAUAAAUGCACUCGUGACUCUCAGAUUACGCUAAACAGUAUAGUAUUCGUUGCUGAUUUAUUGACUGUAAUAAAUGAAUGUCAGGGGGGAGCAUUAUUUAUUGUCACGAUAACAAUGUGCUAUUGUACCACAUAUUGCGAUAAUUUGAUCGUCCGUAAUUUUAUUUAUAGAUACGUAUUUCUAUUAACUUCCAUUUUAUGCUUGUGCAUAAAUUAAACUAGGUACGAAUUAAAUUAAAAGUUUCAUUUCAAGAAUAUUCGUAGAACGAACAACGUACAUAGAAAAAAUAAUAAUGUUCAGCUGCAUCUAUUACUCUACGAUUUCAUUUCGUUCUUUCCGCUAACUAAACCUCCAAACAGACUAUGCUCGUUAAAGAUAUAAUUGUUAAAAAAAUAUAUUUGUAAUAUAUACAGGGUGGUUGGUAACUGGUGGUACAAGCGGAAAGGGGGUGAUUCUACGCGAAAAAAGAAGUCGAAAAUAUAGAAUAAAAAUUUUUCGUUCGAAGCUUUGUUUUCGAGAAAAUCGACUUUGAAUUUUCGGUCGGUACGCGUGCGGUGCGUUAUAACGGAUCUCGCUGUAGAUCGUUGUCUCGAUGGAAAAAUUAAAAAAAAAAUCCCCCCUAAUCCGCAUGUACCACCAGUUACCAACCACCCUGUAUAUUUACAAAAGAAAGAAAAAAAUAACGUCAACGUAUAUUUAUUAAAAAAAAAAAAAAUUGCCGUAGGAGAAAGGGGUGACAGAAAUAUCGCGUGUAACAUCUACUUUACAUUCUGCAAGUUUUGCAACCAAAUUCCUAUUUCUCCGCCAAAUUCUGAAAUAAACUACUACUACUACUAUUACUCUUACUAUUACUGCUACUAUCACCAGAAAUUUCACUAUGAAGCAACGAACAAACAAUUCUACGAAUAGCUUCUGAUUAUUUUAUAACUGUCGUAUUCGGGUCAUCGAAAGUUUUACGAUAUCGAAUAUCGUAGCGUGCGAGAAAGUGGUUGGAGUAAGUGAUCCCCAAAUUACUGGAAGCCAUGCCAUCAUUCCUGUCUCUAUUAUUAUACAUCAUGAAGAAUACUUAUUCUAUUUGCAUUAUCAUUGUUGCAGAGUUCCGUGAAUCAAUCGCGUCGAUGAAUCGAACGACGUAAAAUUAAUAUUGCCCUGUUGUUUACGUGAAAAGAUAAACACGGUGUCCUUGAAACAGUUGAAAAGUCGUGGAUACCAUUACGCUGUAUGUAAAUGCUGUAUACAUGUAAUUAUAAUUUUAAUAUAAACGACUAUACGUCUGCGAUCGUUUCUUCUAUCGUUCUUUAAUUCGGAUAAAUAAUUUAAAAAGGGAAUUUAUAAUCGAGCUUGGCAUCGCGUUAUACAUAUAAACGUAUAAUUACGUUACUUUGCAUAAUGCAUCGUUAUAAUUUCCGUACAAGUGUUUAUCGACGGAGAGAAUUCCGCGCUAUCGACUUUAAAAUCAACGCUAGCCUCAGCCAGUGUUCCUUUGUGAAAAGAAACUUCGGUUUAGUAAUUCCAUGCAUAAAUUCCACUUCCGACCGCACGGCACACUUUCCGCGCCAAGUUUCCUAUCUACGUGUGUUACAAAAUACGCCCACGUUUCGAUAAUAUGUAAAGGAGAGGUGUCGCAAUGAUAACGUUCGCCUUAUCGCUCCUUACCGAUUGUAAUUAAACGCCAUGUGAACUAAUGGAAACGCGAUACGUAUGCACAGAUCGAGCCAGUUCACUUUCAUAAACAAAUUCUGUCGUAGCCCAAUAGAAAAUACAUUUUUCGCUCGUAACAUGUAACUUCCUUUGUUUGUAAACAAGCGUACACUGUAUCUAACCUGUUAAACGUAUUAAAAAUUUGUGGAAAGUUAUAGAGCGAUAGAAAAUACUUUAUAAAUCAAUCUGUUAUAAAUCCGUCCAACACUAACCUACCUUACCAGACCCGGUCAAACGACCGGUUUAAUUUAAAAUUGUACGUUUAUUGUUAUCUCAUUUGCUCGUCCAAAUUGAUGUACAUCCUUAUAUCAUCCGAUUGAUUAAUUUUUCAAUUUUUGUUAAUAUACAGUUAAAUAAAGUUAAAUAUUAUUCUCGAUA